GUGGCUAUCAGACUAGGAGAAUUCUGGGAAGAGGAAAGGCUGAGACUGCUGGAGACGCAGAGGAAACGAGAUGAGAAUGCCUUACCGAGAAAAGGUAUGAAGCCACAUGGCUAAACACAGAUAAAAAUUAUAGGUUAAUGUAAGUUGUAGAGAAGGCCUGAGCUCCAGGCCUGGAAUAGCGUCAGUUAGAGGUCCAAAUCCCAGCGUGGAAGCAACUUCAGAGGAAGGCCGGAGCUUCGGGCUGCAGCUUCAGGCCUGGAGCAGCAUCAAGGGGACCGUGAGAGCCUCAGACCUGGGUACAGCUUCAGAGAAAAGAACCCAGGAAUCCUUACAAAUCUGGAAGAGAAAGCUGUCAAAACAAGUGAGGACCAGUUGCAUGGGGUCUUCGGAGAGAAAUCUAUCUACACAGUUGCUCAAAGAUGAUGUCACCAUUUGUGUUCCUCAUCUGAGGCCUGAGGAAGCCGAGGCCCAGAUUCUGAGACUGGGACUUUGGCAGGGAGCCUCUUCGGUGUGUCAGGCGGACCUUCAUGAGAAGCCGAUUCUAAACCACAGCACUGUGGUGUUUGGGACUUGAAGCUCCAGGAGUGAGGAAACAGCAGAAACAGGACGCUCCCUUCUGCCUUUGACCAUAUCGUCCUUCCUGAGAUCACAGCGUAAAACCCUGGAAGGAUUUCCUGACCACCCCGCAAACAGGUAAGAACUUUCUGAAGGCGUUACCCAAGGACAACCGAGGGAGGAACAUCCUCAUCCAUGAACACCCAGGGACACUGAGGAGUAUCUGAGGAGAUAUUGGUAGAAAUCAUCUUAGAAGGAAACUGAGGUCCAGACAGAUUUCAUUAUUUACACAAG
rnacentral:lncRNA from 1 species